rnacentral:tRNA from 1 species
CGGUCAACAGCGCUUCGCGAGCCGGCGUGUUGCGCCUUCCAAUGGGAAAGUACCAUCUCCCUGCA